GACGAACGCUGGCGGCGUGCCUAAUACAUGCAAGUUGAGCGAUGAAGAUUGGUGCUUGCACCAAUUUGAAGAGCAGCGAACGGGUGAGUAACGCGUGGGGAAUCUGCCUUUGAGUGGGGGACAACAUUUGGAAACGAAUGCUAAUACCGCAUAACAACUUUAAACAUAAGUUUUAAGUUUGAAAGAUGCAAUUGCAUCACUCAAAGAUGAUCCCGCGUUGUAUUAGCUAGUUGGUGAGGUAAAGGCUCACCAAGGCGAUGAUACAUAGCCGACCUGAGAGGGUGAUCGGCCACAUUGGGACUGAGACACGGCCCAAACUCCUACGGGAGGGAGCAGGAGGGAAUCUUCGGCAAUGGACGAAAGUCUGGCCGAGCAACGCCGCGUGAGUGAAGAAGGUUUUCGGAUCGGAAAACUCUGUUGGUAGGGAAGAACGUUGGUGAGAGUGGAAAGCUCAUCAAGUGACGGUAACUACCCAGAAAGCGACGGCUAACUACGUG
rnacentral:rRNA from 1 species